rnacentral:rRNA from 1 species
UAGGGAAUCUUCCACAAUGGACGCAAGUCUGAUGGAGCAACGCCGCGUGAGUGAAGAAGGUCAUUCGGAUCGUAAAGCUCUGUUGUUGGUGAAGAAGGAUAGAGGCAGUAACUGGUCUUUAUUUGACGGUAAUCAACCAGAAAGUCACGGCUAACUACGUGCCAGCAGCCGCGGUAAUACGUAGGUGGCAAGCGUUGUCCGGAUUUAUUGGGCGUAAAGCGAGCGCAGGCGGAAUGAUAAGUCUGAUGUGAAAGCCCACGGCUCAACCGUGGAACUGCAUCGGAAACUGUCAUUCUUGAGUGCAGAAGAGGAGA